rnacentral:rRNA from 1 species
UACGUAGGGUGCGAGCGUUGUCCGGAAUUAUUGGGCGUAAAGAGCUCGUAGGCGGUUUGUCGCGUCUGCCGUGAAAGUCCGGGGCUCAACUCCGGAUCUGCGGUGGGUACGGGCAGACUAGAGUGAUGUAGGGGAGACUGGAAUUCCUGGUGUAGCGGUGAAAUGCGUAGAUAUCUGGAGGAACACCGGUGGCGAAGGCGGCAUCCUGGACCAACACUGACACUGAGGAGCGAAAGCCAGGGGAGCAAACGGG